GGGCAUACUGCCAUUCUUGAGGCCGGUAGAGGCCGCCGGAACUCUAGGUGUACCGGUGAAAUGCGUAGAUAUCUAGAGGAACGCCAAAGACGAAGGUAGGCGGCUGGGCCGGUUCUGACGCUCAGGCACGAAAGCGUGGGGAGCAAACAGGAUUAGAUACCCUGGUAGUCCACGCCGUAAACGUUGUGCACUAGGUGCUGGAGGUUCUGACACCAUCAGCGCCGAAGCGAAAGUGAUUAGUGCACCGCCUGGGGAGUACGGUCGCAAGGCUAAAACUCAAAGGAAUUGACGGGGGCUCACACAAGCGGUGGAGCAUGUGGCUUAAUUCGAGGCAACGCGAAGAACCUUAUCCUGGGCUUGACAUGCAUGGAUUAACGCUGGGAAACCAGCGCCACACUCUUUGAGUGGAACAUGCACAGGUGCUGCAUGGCUGUCGUCAGCUCGUGCUGUGAAGUGUUGGGUUAAGUCCCUUAACGAGCGAAACCCCUGUCGCUAGUUACCAUCAGGUAAUGCUGGGGACUCUAGCGAGACUGCCGGUGUCAAACCGGAGGAAGGCGGGGAUGACGUCAAGUCCUCAUGGCCUUUAUGCCCAGGGCUGCACACGUGCUACAAUGGCGCCGACAGAGCGAAGCAAAACCGCGAGGUAGAGCAAAUCGCAAAAAAGGUGCCCCAGUUCGGAUUGCAGUCUGCAACUCGACUGCAUGAAGCCGGAAUCGCUAGUAAUCGCGUAUCAGCAACGACGCGGUGAAUACGUUCCUGAGCCUUGUACACACCGCCCGUCAAGUCAUGGAAGCCGGGAGUACCCGAAGUCGCACCGAUUCAGGUGUGCCGAUGGUAAGCUCGGUGA
rnacentral:rRNA from 1 species